UGAGGAAUAUUGGGCAAUGCCCGCAAGGGUGACCCAGCAACGCCGCGUGGAGGAUGAAUGUCGUAAGAUUGUAAACUCCUGUUAGAGGGGAAGAAUAGUACCGGUUGGACCGGUAUAUGACUGUACCCUCAGAGAAAGCCCCGGCUAACUACGUGCCAGCAGCCGCGGUAAUACGUAGGGGGCAAGCGUUGUCCGGAUUUACUGGUUGUAAAGGGCGCGCAGGCGGGAUAAAAAGUCAGUGGUGAAAUCCUACAGCUUAACUGUAGAACUGCCUUUUAUACUUUUAUUCUUGAGUUCGGGAGAGAGAGACGGAAUUCCAGGUGUAGUGGUGAAAUACGUAGAUAUCUGGAAGAACACCAGUUGCGAAGGCGGUCUCUUGGUCCGACACUGACGCUGAGGCGCGAAAGCGUGGGGAGCAAACA
rnacentral:rRNA from 1 species